rnacentral:rRNA from 1 species
AUUGAACGCUGGCGGCAGGCCUAACACAUGCAAGUCGAACGGUAACAGGGAUCAGCUUGCUGAUUCGCUGACGAGUGGCGGACGGGUAAGUAAUGUCUGGGAAACUGCCUGCUGGAGGGGGAUAACUACUGGAAACGGUAGCUAAUACCGCAUAACGUCGCAAGACCAAAGAGGGGGACCUUCGGGCCUCUUGCCAUCGGAUGUGCCCAGAUGGGAUUAGCUAGUAGGUGGGGUAACGGCUCACCUAGGCGACGAUCCCUAGCUGGUCUGAGAGGAUGACCAGCCACACUGGAACUGAGACACGGUCCAGACUACUACGGGAGGCAGCAGUGGGGAAUAUUGCACAAUGGGCGCAAGCCUGAUGCAGCCAUGCCGCGUGUAUGAAGAAGGCCUUCGGGUUGUAAAGUACGUUCAGCGGGGAGGAAGGGAGUAAAGUUAAUACCUUUGCUCAUUGACGUUACCCGCAGAAGAAGCACCGGCUAACUCCGUG